GGGGCCGAUUGGUCUCGACGGCAAGACGGAGGGUCUGGAAGAGCGGGCCGAGGUUGUCCGAACCUCGUUAAACGCGGACACAAAAACAAACGUCAACAACAAUAACUACGCACUGGCUGCUUAAUGCAGCCACGUCUUACGCGGCAGCAGCCGCCGUUUCUGCGUAAGGCGACACAAAAUGGCGGAUGCUUUUCGGGGAGUGUCUCCGGUCCCGGAAAAAAGAUAAGGGGGCUUGGGCGAGAAAAUCCUGUUCCCGGGAGUUUUGAGCCGACAUUAAAUCGGGAACUACGCCCGUAGCGCUUCCACGGCCGGCCCUUGUCGGACGGGGGUUCGAUUCCCCCCGGCUCCACCA
rnacentral:tmRNA from 1 species